GUGCUUGCUUUGGCAGCACAUAUACUAAAAUUGGAAUGAUACAGAGAAGAUUAGCAUGGCCCCUGUGCAAGGAUGACUCGCAAACUCAUGAAGUGUUCCAUAUUAAA